UACGUAGGGGGCGAGCGUUGUCUGGAUUUAUUGGGCGUAAAAGGCUUGUAGGUGGCCACGUCAAGUCGGAUGUGAAAUCUCCCGGCUCAACUGGGAAACUGCAUCGGAAACUGAUCGGCUUGAAGAUGGGAGAGGGUAGUGGAAUUCCCGGUGUAGUGGUGAAAUGCGUAGAUAUCGGGAGGAACACCAGUGGCGAAGGCGACUACCUGGCCCAUUCUUGACGCUGAGGCGCGAAAGCUAGGGGAGCGAACGGG
rnacentral:rRNA from 1 species